GAUGAACGCUAGCUACAGGCUUAACACAUGCAAGUCGAGGGGCAGCAUGGUCUUAGCUUGCUAAUGCCGAUGGCGACCGGCGCACGGGUGAGUAACACGUAUCCAACCUGCCGUCUACUCUUGGACAGCCUUCUGAAAGGAAGAUUAAUACAAGAUGGCAUCAUGAGUCCGCAUGUUCACAUGAUUAAAGGUAUUCCGGUAGACGAUGGGGAUGCGUUCCAUUAGAUAGUAGGCGGGGUAACGGCCCACCUAGUCUUCGAUGGAUAGGGGUUCUGAGAGGAAGGUCCACCACAAUGGAACUGAGACACGGACCAAACGGGUACGGGAGGCAGCAGUGAGUAAGAUUGGUCAAUGGGCGCAGGCCUGAACCAGCCAAGUAGCGUGAAGGAUCACUGGCGUAUGAGUUGUAAUCUUCUUUUAUAGAGGAAUAAAGUCGGGUAUGUAUACCCGUUUGCAUGUACUUUAUGAAUAAGGAUCGGCUAACUCCGUG
rnacentral:rRNA from 1 species